GGCCCCCGGACCGGCGCUCCCCGAUGGGAGAUGUAGUUCGGCCCCGGCGGGGCUGCUCCGGGGGGGAUGGACCCUCUGGGGAUGCCCGGGGGACGAGUGAGCAUACGGUUUCAGAUCUCUGGAAUUUAAAGCCAGUCAUAAGUUUUCUGCAAAGCCUCACACCUAAUUUUGGCCAAUGGGGGGUUAAUGCAGUAGCAGAGUGAUGACUGUGCUGUCUGGACAACCCCCCUUCUGCCCUCGCUGCUUCCCCAGGGCUGAAAAAAGCUGCUUCAGCAACAGAGACAUCCUAAAGAGCUGCUGUGGAGUCUGCUCUUGGAUGGUCUUUCCGACAAAGCUCAGCAGGCAGUAGGAGCUGAUGGAGAACCAAAUGGUGAAGGUAACCUUGUACUAGAGGCUGGAUGUUAGAAAUCCAUAGAAAUAAUACAGAAUAACAGAGGCCUUGGGAAAGGAGGAAGAGGUGGAGAACUGGGAGAGACAGUGUGGUUUGCCUAGAUGAAGGAAAACAUAUUUGAUGAGAACAGCAGAACUGUUGAAAAGGGGGCAAUGCCAUUAGCUUAUUCUCCUGCAUAGACUAGAGGAAGCCAACAGCAUACCUGGAAACUUGGAAGUUUUGCGGCAUAACCUGCUGGAAUAUCUCCUGUUAUACUGCAACUGCUACACUGUGAAAAGUUGUUUAAACAAUCUUGUGGCAUUUCUGCCUUCCUUAUGCUGCCCUGUCUGUGGCAAGACAGACUGAACCAUUCUGAGGUGCUCAGACGUUCACAAGUGGAAUAAAACUGAGCUGGCUGUUUGAAAGCUUUAGUCAAUAGGUGUCACUGUUCUGCUCUUCCCUUCUCAAAUCUCUUUCCAUCGGCAGCUUGGAAACAACAACCUUUUCAAGGAGAAGUCACUAAUUUUACAGGUAGGCAUCCUAUCGUCUCUCCCUUACCAUCUUCCUCCACUAAUUUCAGUGUUUCUAAAUCUCUCAAUUAGCAAAUCUGCAACCAUUCCUCUUGGGAUGCUAGUAUGCAGCCUAUUGCCAAAAGAAACCAAGCCUUUCCAGCUUGUAUUUGGAAGACAAGGAGGAAGAGUGGGCAUGGAAAAACCCAGUUGAGAACAGUUGCUGCAUUUCUUGCUGCCAUGAAGGGUCUGGCUCUACAAUAUGGCCUCAAUGACCAGACAGAGAGGAAGUAAUGCAGCACAUUCCAUGAAUAUUGCAGAGGCUUACAAAUAAAAGUUUAUGAAGUCCUGGCAUGACUAGUAUUUUGGGUUUUGGGAAUCAAUGUGAAUAAGAAAUCUCAUCUCUCAGUUGCACUGUGUAUAGACAACUCUGACCUGCAGCUCCUGUUCUACUUAAAAUAUGGUAAUCCAGGCAAUUUCCCCCUUCAUCAGUAAACACUCAGCAUUCAUCAGAUUCUUCUGUCUUUUUAAGUGAGGACCUCCACUAAAAACUGCUACCUUUCUAGCACCAUGUAAUCCUGCUAGAUUAAAGCAGCAUGUAGGCUCAGGGGCUUUCCUCCCUUCUGAAUGUAGGUAAGUAGUAUUUUGGUGUACUAAAGUUUCUGUGGAAAAAAAUUGAAAUACUCUAAAAGAAAAUAUUCAUCAAGGAAUGUCUUUGUUUACAGCAGUUUGUAGCACUGUCUGAUAAUAUCAUACAGAGAUGUGCCAAAGCAUCUCCAGUAAAGCAUGACCCUGCUGUUCCAAGGGCGGAGGAGGUGUAUAGCAAGGCACAGAGAGACAGAUUAUUUACAAGCCUUCAUUAAAUCAGUCAGUAUGGGGAAGGGGUCACCAUCGAAAAGGAGCAGUGGAACUACUGUGAUAAAAGCAGUCAAGGCAGAACUAAGCUCUAAGUAGUUUGUGUUACAUGAAGCAGCUCUGUACCUCUCCCGCUGGCAGGGUUAAGUGUUACAUGAGACUACCCAGAACCUGCAGGACAGCCCUAUCAAACCCCUGAUUUCAACUAGGAUGGGCUGCCUCUGCCUUCUGCAGGCUGCACUGUCACUGGUCCUGGGCUCAGCUGUCCCUGCAUCUUCCCAGGGCACGUGAUGCAACACAGCACAGGGCACUUGGGCCUGCCAGCUCCGGGAAGGGCCAUCACUGCUCUUGCAGCAUGUCUGGCAGUAGGCAACUGGCUACAAACAUUGUCCUUGACCACCCUAAUUCCCCAGGUAUUGCAGCUUAGAGCACAGCUAUGAGUACUUUUCCAGUCCUUUACCUUGUUCGUGCCAUCACAUUGUUCUUCUUGGGCUGCUGAUUCACUGGGCUUCCCAUGUUGCCAUUCUUCAGGGAGCCCUUCCGAGCCAGCUCCCUCUGCUUCUCUGCAUAUGAGACACAAAGGGCAAAAGCAAAAUCAGGGCAACAGCCUAGCUGGCCACCAUACAGCUACAGAAAUCCAGAUUUGAUAGUGGCAAAAAGCGUAGCAGAAUUAAUAGCAAAGGACUUGAGCUCUACAUCUCUUUUGGAGGGACACUGCAAAGGCCAGAUGAGCUGUGUUCCACUUUCUUAGAGGUCACCAGGGGCUAAAACUAAUAUACUCACAGCUAAUUCACUCACAGCAGCUUCUGACAUCAACACACUAAAAUCUUCAUCUCUAAGGUCUUGGAGCUUCUGGAUGAGACCCAGUGGAAGCAGACAAAGGACAGAGACCUGGUCCCUGUCUGCAGCUGGUUGCUGCAUGAUACUGUGCUGUACUAAUAUGGCCCUGCCUCCAGCAGGGAUAGGAACACAGGCAUGAUGGGUUUUCAUACAAACUAAUAUUAAAUUUUCUGAUUCAAAGUCUUGCCUUGUUUCCUGUGGAAAAUCAAUUGGGUUGAGUCACCAAUUAGUUGCAAAAGUUGGGCCAACUGCCCCAAUCUCAUCCUGCAAUGCCAGACAAGGCUUGUAGGCAAAAGCUGAGCAUGGGGCCAGUAUAGCAGGAAAGGGACUGGUUAAAAACAUUCUCCAGAGUGUGACAAAAUGUUGGAAACUACUUUCAUGGCAUGCCUGAAAAAUACGGAUAUACCAGACUGCUUGCUGAGGAACCUGAACAGUGAAUUUGUUUUGCUUCUGCUUCCCCUACAGGCUGUGAAUUGUGCUGAUUUUUUUUAUUUUUUUUUCUAGAUUUUAUUUCCCCUUGGAGAGAAAAGGAGCUUUUCCUGCUUGUUGUGGAAAAGCAACAUGCUACUAUGUAAGUAAGUUCAAGGUGGGCCACUCUGUCCCUUCCUCACAGGUCAGAGCAGGGGGAAACAUGCCCAAGGCUGCCUUUUUUGAGGGAGAAGCAAGCAGCAGAGAUGCCUAGAGACUGUGAUGAUGAGGAACAUGGAGAGAAGAGUACAAACCAUGCCCAGUCCUGCUCCUGAUGACAGUGGAGGCCAAUAAACGCUCAUGGCACUUGGCAGGAAAGGGAUUGGAUUAAUAAAUCCCUCUGGCAUGAACAGCUAAGAGAUUGAUAAAGGAUUGAAGUCAAAACCUUAAAUCAGAGUAAUUUCUCAGUACUGGAACUUGCAAAUGCAUUGAUUAUCUCUGUCUCCAUAAUAAAAGCAUGGUACUUUGCAGGCUGUUUGAAUUUUGCUGUCCAGAGAGGGAUAAAGUGGGGCUCUGUGGAGGCAAACAUUUACAACACUAAAUACAACUCAAUUUCCACCCAUCUACAUCAGAAGCUCCAGCGCUGACCACAAAUACACAGCACUGAGACAAGCUGCCAAUGCUUUAGGAGGCUGUAUAACCCACAAAAGACACCUGACUCAGAAACAAGGGUACAGGUUUCAUUUUCUUUCAUGGAAGUUAAGGCCUGCCUGAGCCUUUUAAAUGAGACAGCACUCUCUCCUUUUUAUUGAUCCCUCAGCACAAGCACUAAUGCUGUUCUCCAACUCAGAUUACUCAUUCAGCUGAUGAACCUGGACUUUUACUAACCAUGUUUUUUCCUCCAGUAGGUCUCUCCGUGACCAUUUCUACUCUAUUACUGAUUCCUAUUGCAACGUGUGGGUCAGAAUGACAUGAGCUUUUCUAUCUAAUCCUUUCAAUUAUUUAGUGGCUUGGAGUGAACAAUCCCAGUGCAAUGUGAGUGUGGUAGGAAAAUCUAUGCUUGUAUCCACAGCCAAAUUUCUUAAAUGCGAAUCAACAGUUCAUCUUCCUGUUGAAUGCUAUGAAGUGCGAGUCCCUGGUGGUCAAAAUGCGAUUUUGGCUUCCAGGGGCAGCGGGAGGCCUUCUCAGUCCAAGUGUGUUAGAACAAGCUCCUGGAAGGUGGUGAAGAUGUGCAUGAGUCACAUCAGGUUUUAAGGCAUGGAAACCUAGUAUUUGAGCCUUACAAGUGUUGUGAACUACUGAUACUUUUAUCAUCACCCAAGGGAGCUUUUGGAUGCCAAUCUCUUCCAGUAAUUCUGAGCUAUAAAUUCCAGCCUUGCACACCAACCAUCAGGUCCAUCAGAACAUAGGAUGGAGGUUUUCAGUGCCCAUUUUCUGUGUGGUGUUUCUUCCUGGUAUAGCCAGUGGAGUCUGUGAACCCCAUUUCUAGGCAAGUGAGGUCCUUCCCUGGCUUUCAGCUCAUCUGGUUUUCCCAGACGUUUGUUUGAAGGCCAAGUUCCCAAACUCUAAGUACUUGAGUCCUUUUAAGAAACGCGACUGAUUUAGGCACUUCUAAAGAUAUUACUUUCAGAGUCCAAUAUUUUAAUAAACCCCUGUAAUUUCACAAAUUAAAGUAGUUCUCACAAAAUCCGCAAUCAGACACACAACCAGCAAAGACAAGGCGAGAGGAGGAAAGGCUGAGGGAGCUGGGCCUGUUCAACCUGGAGCAGAGAUGACUAUAAGUAUCUGAACGGAGGGUGUCAGAGGACAGAGCCAGGCUCUGCUCAGUGGUGCUGAGCAAUAGUACAUGAGGCAAUGGGCAGAAACUGAUGCACAGGAAGUUCCACCUGAGUAUGAGGAAGAACUUCUUUACUGUGUGGGUGACUGAGCACUGGACUCGAUUGUUCAGAGAAAGUGUGGAGUGUCUCUCACUGCAGACAUUCCAGAAUCAUUUGGAUGCAAUCCUGUGUCAUGGGAUGACCCUGCCUGUACAGGGAGGUUGGACUAUAUGACCCAUUGUGGUCCCUUACAGCCUUACGCAUGCUGUGAUUCUGGGAUUCUGCUAACAGGCAGUCCUGCCAAACACAGAGAAAAUGGGACACACAAGAAGAAAUGAAAAAACAGAAGACUCUGAUUUCCAGUCACUGGUUAUUUCAUGUUUGGUGAGUUUGCUGUUGGAUGAAAAGCUAAUACAGGAAGGUGAAGGACAGAGAUUCAGAAAUGGGAAAAGUCAGAAUGAAAUUAAGCUGCUCUCCAGCUACUUCAGAGAAAUCAGUAAUUACUGGCAGCGUAAAAGCAGAGCCCCAGUGAUGCUCUUCAUAUGGCAUUUGCAAGUAUUUAAAAUAAAUUGUUUAGCUUUCAUUUCA